UACAGAGGGUGCGAGCGUUAAUCGGAUUUACUGGGCGUAAAGCGUGUGUAGGCGGUUUGUUAAGUCGGGUGUGAAAUCCCUGGGCUCAACCUGGGAAUUGCAUUCGAUACUGGCAAGCUAGAGUACGGUAGAGGGCGGCGGAAUUCCGGGGUGUAGCGGUGAAAUGCGUCAGAUAUCCGGAGGAACACCGAUGGCGAAGGCAACCGCCUGGGCCUGUACUGACGCGUGAGACGACGAA
rnacentral:rRNA from 1 species